AAAAAAACAAUGUCGCGUCACAUCUCAGCCUUCGGGAGCAAGUGAAGAUUCAUGCUUGCCCUGCCUCACACUAGCAGCUGCUGCAGAAGCAGGAGGCACAACAGAGGUUAACUGUCUGGACUCUGCUUCUUGCCACUGGAUCCAGAGCUCCAGGGAUCCCGAGGCAGUAUGGGGUGAAUUCCUCCGACACAGCCAAAGCCUCAGCCCAGCAGUGAACGCGCAGCCCUUUCUGUAUUCCUACUGUGCCGGCUUCUGGAUACGCACACCCCUGAAUCCAAGAUUACCAUUCAAGUCACUCCAAGUCUGGUGCCAGUGCAGAGUACCAGGACAUCAUGUGUUUGCCUCAUUCUGAGCCUGUUGGACCCAGGAGCUACUCACAGCACCACAACACAGCAGAAACACAAAGAACCACAGGCACAAGAGGACUAGGGAACUGUCCGUGACCCCAUCUGCAGGUCAAGCUCUGCCUCUCUCUUGACUCUUCAGUUUUUCCAAUCCCUACUUUUGCCUGUUCUUUCUCCAAGACUGACCACACACUCUCAUGCUUCUGGGUUUGAUGGUAUUUUGAGAUUCCUCUUCCUAAACUAUAGAAAGUAUUUCAGAGCUUACCCCUCAUCACUGCCCCAACUCUGCUUUUGCUCUAGUUCUUAUUUCAAUUUUAAGCAGGAUCCGUCCAUCAGAUCAGCCCUGUAAGAUCAUAUUGUCUCUGAUCACUUGUCUAGAAACUAUAUUGGGUGUUUUUUGUUUGUUUGUUUAUUUGUUUGUUUGUUUGUUUUCAGCUUGUACCAGGGUAGACUGGGAAACUCUCUGAGAAAUGCGAGUUCAUCAUCCCUUCCCCAUGAUAAUAGGACAGUCUUUGGAGAGAUUCAAAUUUAAUCAUCCACUCAUGUACCAAGCCACUCAUUAUUCAAUAUCUAGUUGUCAAGUUCCUACCAUUACUUGUAUUAGGCUAUAAGAUACUGCUAGGUCCUCUGCAUCUGUACUUCCAAGGAAGAGGAGGCUAGUGCUCAUCCCAUAAAAACAUAUUUGGAAUACAGUCACUAUGAAGUCUUGUGAUUUUUUUAUUUGGCCAAUCAACAAUCAAAAUUUCUUUCAGUUUCCAUGGCCCACAGCAUGUCAUUCAAAAAAGAAAUGACUGUAACAAACGGCUUACGGACAGCACUACCUAUGAAUCUAGGUCAGAAAGUAUUGUUGUGGGACAGUGAUGAUUCCAUCAUCUCUUCCUGUGGCUACUUCUAAUGUUGACUCUGAAAUCUGCCUGCUCUGCAAGAUGACCCCAACAAGACGUAUGUUCUUCAUCCUUCAGGUUUCAGAUUCUGGUUUUCGUCAUGUCCUUGAUUCAUCUCUCUGCCUCUUUCCUGGAAACUUAAUGAAAGGAAGUCCAAAAAUUACAAGAUAACGGGGCAGAUAUUUAAAUUUCCUAGCACAAGUAGAUGGCUAAUCAGGCAUAGUUACCUAGCAUGUAGAUUAGUCUAAGAGGUGUAUUUGUUAAAAAUAAUUUGUCAAAUUAAAUAUGGAUUUUUUUCACAGUAAGGAAUAAAAAUCCAUGAGAAUAGGAGAGUAACAGACUGUGCUCACAUGAAAGAAAGUUUUGGUGUCUAUUCGGUAGCUCUGCGAGAUGACAAGCAUUGAAAGCUGAGAAAUGAGUGGGAUCCUUAUGGUCUCGCUGUGGAAACAGGACAACGGCUUGUUUCCAGUGGUACUUCAGGUAGAGACUGACUUAAUGGCGCUUACCCAUGAAGGCGAUGCAGACUAUCUAGUUUGGGGACAGAGAGAAAUCCUGCAGAUUUUUUAAAAUGUAUUUUUUAUGGGCAGCUUUGCUUGAUCAGUUACUAUUCUUCAGAAGUCUUUAAUGACCA